AUUGAACGCUGGCGGCAGGCUUAACACAUGCAAGUCGAGCGAGCGGCGGACGGGUGAGUAAUGUAUGUGGACUGCCCGUUAGAGGGGGAUAACUACUGGAAACGCUAGCUAAUACCGCAUACUACCGGAUAAUCCAUAUGGGAUUAGCUAGUAGGUGGGGUAAUGGCUCACCUAGGCGACGAUCCCGAGCUGGGCUGAGAGGAUGAUCAGCCACACUGGGACUGAGACACGGCCCAGACUCCUACGGAGGCAGCAGUGGGGAAUAUUGCACAAUGGGCGCAAGCCUGAUACAGCCAUGCCGCGUGUAUGAAGAAGGCCCUAGGGUUGUAAAGUACUUUCAGUCGGGAGGCGUUACCGACAGAAGAAGCACCGGCUAACUCCGUGCCAGCAGCCGCGGUAAUAC
rnacentral:rRNA from 1 species